AGCGUUUUGAAGGUGUCAGCAGGGCGUCUUCAAUGGAAGGAGCUACCCAACCACACUGGGAGGUUCACAGGACCGGGGGCAGGACUGGGGGGAGCCGGGGCUAAGGUGUCGUGGUUCCACCAAGCACCCAGCCGCGGCCCCCGCGGCCCCCCACUUGCCCUGGUCCCCUCUCCGCCUCGCUCUCGGAUGGGCUCCUGGAUUCUUAGUUUCUGCUCCGAAGUGUCCCGGGCACAGAACCGGACCGUCCCGUCAAGGACCGCGCCGCCGCCGCCUCUGACAGACGCACAGCAGCUAUGACUCCCAUAAUUCACAGCAAAAAAAACCAACAAACCACACACACAAAACGCGUUGGAGUCCCUGUGUCCGCGGAGACAGGCCCCAUUGGGGAUCAGAGGCACCGAAGUACAGCUCCGAGGCGGUCCGUACCCGCCGACCUGCCGGACCUGCCCUGUCACCACGUUGCUGAACGAGAAUGACAGCCUGCCUAGCACCCCGACGGAAGAGGGGGGAAGAAAGGUCUACCCAACUUUCUUUCCAGUUGGAUGUAGGAAGAUACGAUCCAUAAGCAAAUCCCCAGCUCUACCUUCAGAAUAUAUCCAAAUUUGUCUUCCGAAUUUCGCUGCCACCAACCUGGUCCCAGCCACCAAUUCACGCCUGGAUGAUACCAUACUACCCUCCUGUCUGGUGUAACUACUACUACUCUUGCCUCUCAGUAUGUUCACUGCAGUAACUUCAGUAAUCAUUCUAAAUAAAGCAGU